rnacentral:rRNA from 1 species
AUUGAACGCUGGCGGCAUGCCUUACACAUGCAAGUCGAACGGUAACAGGUUAAGCUGACGAGUGGCGAACGGGUGAGCAAUGUAUCGGAACGUGCCCAGUCGUGGGGGAUAACUGCUCGAAAGAGCAGCUAAUACCGCAUACGACCUGAGGGUGAAAGCGGGGGAUCGCAAGACCUCGCGCGAUUGGAGCGGCCGAUAUCAGAUUAGGUAGUUGGUGAGGUAAAGGCUCACCAAGCCGACGAUCUGUAGCUGGUCUGAGAGGACGACCAGCCACACUGGGACUGAGACACGGCCCAGACUCCUACGGGAGGCAGCAGUGGGGAAUUUUGGACAAUGGGCGCAAGCCUGAUCCAGCCAUGCCGCGUGCGGGAAGAAGGCCUUCGGGUUGUAAACCGCUUUUGUCAGGGAAGAAAAGGUUCUGGCUAAUACCUGGGACUCAUGACGGUACCUGAAGAAUAAGCACCGGCUAACUACGUG